rnacentral:rRNA from 1 species
UCAGGGUAGGGGCUGUCUACCUGCAUUCGAACGGCAUGUUUUAUAGCUGGCUCUCUGGGUGGCGAGUGGGGGACGGGAGAGGAAUACAUCUGAAUCUACUCUGUCAUGGGGGAUAACGUAGGGAAACUUAUCCUAAUACCGCCUACGACCUACGGGUGAAGGCAGGGGAUCUUCGGACCUUGCCCGAUUGAAUGAACCGAUGUCGGAUUAGCUAGUUGGCGGGGUGAAGGCCCACCAAGGCAACUAUCCGUAGCUGGACUGAAAGGAUGAUCAGCCACACUGGAACUGAGACACGGACCCCACUCCUACGGGAGGCAGGAGUGGGGAAUAUUGGACAAUGGGCCCAAGCCUGAUCCACCCAUACCGCGUGGGUGAAGAAGGCCUUCGGGUUGUCAAGCCCUUUUGUUGGGAAGGAAAUCCAGCCGGCUAAUACCAGGAUGGGAUGACACUACCCAAAUAAUAAACACCGGCUACCUUCCUGCCAGCAGCCGCGGUAAUACGAAGGGUGCAAGCGUUACUCGGUAUUACUGGGCGUAAGGCCUGCGUAGGUGGUCGUUUAAGUCCGUUGUGAAGACGCGGGGCUCAACCUGUGAACUGCAGAGGAUACUGGGCGACUAGAGUGUGGAAGAGGGUAGCGGAAUUCCUGGUGUAGCAGUGAAAUGCGUAAGAUCAGGAGAUAACAUCCAUGACGAAUGCAGCUACCUGGACCUACGCUGACACUGAGACACAGAAGCGUGAGGAGCAAACAAGAUUACAUACCCUGAGUACUCCACGCCCUAAACGAUGCCAACUGGAUGUUGGGUGCAAUUUGGCACGCGCCCUCUAGCUAGCACGUUAAGCUCGCCGCCUGACGGAGUGCGGUAGCACGACUGAACCUCUGAGGUACUUGACGAGCCGCCCGCACCACCGGAGCAGUAUGUUGAUUUAUGUUUAUGCUACGUAGAACAGUAUUAGCAUGGUCAUUGAGUGUCGAAGUACCUUUCACGAGUGGAAGGGAUUGACUGCGAGUACCUCGACGACAGUGCUGCAUGUCUGUCAUCAUCUCCUGUCGUGAGAUGUCUGGGAUUAGCUCCGCUACGAGCGCAACUCUUUGUUACUUAGUUUGCCAGUAACGGAAU